UACGUAGGGUGCAAGCGUUAAUCGGAAUUACUGGGCGUAAAGCGUGCGCAGGCGGUCUGUUAAGACCGAUGUGAAAUCCCCGGGCUUAACCUGGGAACUGCAUUGGUGACUGGCAGGCUUUGAGUGUGGCAGAGGGAGGUAGAAUUCCACGUGUAGCAGUGAAAUGCGUAGAGAUGUGGAGGAAUACCGAUGGCGGAAGGCAGCCUCCUGGGCCAACACUGACGCUCAUGCACGAAAG
rnacentral:rRNA from 1 species